rnacentral:tRNA from 1 species
GGGUUGCUAGCUCAGCUGGUAGAGCAACUGACUCUUAAUCAGUGGGUCCCGGGUUCGAGUCCCGGGCAACCCA